GGCAAAUUGGUGGUGGAGUGGUAACACACCUGCUUUACAUAUCCAGGUACCAUCUUUUCAGCAGAAGAUCCUUGUUCGAUUCAAGGUCAGGCCA